rnacentral:sRNA from 1 species
GGAUUGUAUCUCAAUGUGUCCGUCUCUGUCUCACGGAGUCUCGAAUUGUUUCCCUU